AACGAACGCUGGCGGCAUGCCUAACACAUGCAAGUCGAACGAGACCUUCGGGUCUAGUGGCGCACAGGUGCGUAACGCGUGGGAACCUGCCUUUAGGUUCGGAAUAACAGUGAGAAAUUACUGCUAAUACCGGAUGAUGUCUUCGGACCAAAGAUUUAUCGCCUUUAGAUGGGCCCGCGUUGGAUUAGCUAGUUGGUGGGGUAAAGGCCUACAAGGCGACGAUCCAUAGCUGGUCUGAGAGGAUGAUCAGCCACACUGGGACUGAGACACGGCCCAGACUCCUACGGGAGGCAGCAGUGGGAAUAUUGGACAAUGGGCGAAAGCCUGAUCCAGCAAUGCCGCGUGAGUGAUGAAGGCCUUAGGGUUGUAAAGCUCUUUACCCGUAGAUGAUAAUGACAGUAUCGGAGAAUAAGCUCCGGCUAAUCCCGUG
rnacentral:rRNA from 1 species